rnacentral:rRNA from 1 species
AGAGCGAACGCUGGCGGCAGGCCUAAUACAUGCAAGUCGAACGAACCCUUCGGGGUUAGUGGCGGACGGGUGAGUAACACGUGGGAACGUGCCUUUUGGUUCGGAACAACUCAGGGAAACUUGAGCUAAUACCGAAUGUGCCCUUCGGGGGAAAGAUUUAUCGCCAUUAGAGCGGCCCGCGUCUGAUUAGCUAGUUGGUGGGGUAAAGGCCCACCAAGGCUACGAUCAGUAGCUGGUCUGAGAGGAUGAUCAGCCACACUGGGACUGAGACACGGCCCAGACUCCCACGGGAGGCAGCAGUAGGGAAUCUUGCGCAAUGGGCGAAAGCCUGACGCAGCCAUGCCGCGUGAAUGAUGAAGGUCUUAGGAUUGUAAAAUUCUUUCAGCGGGACGAUAAUGACGGUACCGCAGAAGAACGCCCGGCUAACUUCGUGCCAGCAGCCGC